rnacentral:rRNA from 1 species
AAGUGAAGGGAAUGAGCGGCGGACGGGUGAGUAACACGUAAGGAACCUGCCCCAAGGAUUGGGAUAACUCCGAGAAAUCGGAGCUAAUACCGAAUAGUUCUUCAGACCGCAUGGUCUGAUGAUGAAAGGCGCUCCGGCGUCACCUUGGGAUGGCCUUGCGGUGCAUUAGCUAGUUGGUGGGGUAAUGGCCCACCAAGGCGACGAUGCAUAGCCGACCUGAGAGGGUGAUCGGCCACACUGGGACUGAGACACGGCCCAGACUCCUACGGGAGGCAGCAGUAGGGAAUCUUCCACAAUGGACGAAAGUCUGAUGGAGCAACGCCGCGUGAGUGAUGAAGGUUUUCGGAUCGUAAAACUCUGUUGUAAGGGAAGAACAAGUACGAGAGGGAAUGCUCGUACCUUGACGGUACCUUGCGAGAAAGCCACGGCUAACUACGUGCCAGCAGCCGCGGUAAUACGUAGGUGGCAAGCGUUGUCCGGAAUUAUUGGGCGUAAAGCGCGCGCAGGCGGCCUUUUAAGUCUGAUGUGAAAGCCCCCGGCUCAACCGGGGAGGGUCAUUGGAAACUGGAAGGCUUGAGUACAGAAGAGAAGAGUGGAAUUCCAUGUGUAGCGGUGAAAUGCGUAGAGAUGUGGAGGAACACCAGUGGCGAAGGCGACUC